rnacentral:rRNA from 1 species
AUGACCCUACGGGGGGCAGCAGUGGGGAAUAUUGGGCAAUGGGCGCAAGCCUGACCCAGCAACGCCGCGUGAAGGAAGAAGGCUUUCGGGUUGUAAACUUCUUUUAAGAGGGAAGAGAAGAAGACGGUACCUCUUGAAUAAGCCACGGCUAACUACGUGCCAGCAGCCGCGGUAAUACGUAGGUGGCAAGCGUUAUCCGGAUUUACUGGGUGUAAAGGGAGCGUAGACGGCUGCGCAGGUCAGAAGUGAAAGCCCGGGGCUCAACCGCGGGACUGCUUUUGAAACUGUGUAGCUAGAGUGCAGGG